rnacentral:misc_RNA from 1 species
AGCAGCCGCGGUAAUUCCAGCUCCAAUAGCGUAUAUUAAAGUUGUUGCAGUUAAAAGCUCGUAGUUGAAUUUCGGGAUCAAUAUGUUGGUCGUGCCUCGGUACGUACUAGCUUAUUGGUUUCUCCUUUCUGAAGAACCAUGAUGUCAUUUAUUUGGUGUCGUGGGGAAUCAGGACUGUUACUCUGAAAAAUUAGAGUGCUUAAAGCAGGCUCACGCUUGAAUACAUUAGCAUGGAAUAAUGAAAUAGGACGUUUGAUUCUAUUUUGUUGGUUUCUAGGAUCGACGUAAUGAUUAAUAGGGAUAGUUGGGGGCAUUAGUAUUCAAUUGUCAGAGGUGAAAUUCUUGGAUUUAUUGAAGACUAACUACUGCGAAAGCAUUUGCCAAGGAUGUUUUCAUUAAUCAAGAACGAAAGUUAGGGGAUCGAAGGCGAUCAGAUACCGUCGUAGUCUUAACCAUAAACUAUGCCGAUAGGGAUCGGAUGAUGUUAAUCUUUUAAUGACUCAUUCC